rnacentral:rRNA from 1 species
GACGAACGCUGGCGGCGUGCCUAAUACAUGCAAGUUGAGCGCUGAAGGUUGGUACUUGUACCGACUGGAUGAGCAGCGAACGGGUGAGUAACGCGUGGGGAAUCUGCCUUUGAGCGGGGGACAACAUUUGGAAACGAAUGCUAAUACCGCAUAAAAACUUUAAACACAAGUUUUAAGUUUGAAAGAUGCAAUUGCAUCACUCAAAGAUGAUCCCGCGUUGUAUUAGCUAGUUGGUGAGGUAAAGGCUCACCAAGGCGAUGAUACAUAGCCGACCUGAGAGGGUGAUCGGCCACAUUGGGACUGAGACACGGCCCAAACUCCUACGGGAGGCAGCAGUAGGGAAUCUUCGGCAAUGGACGAAAGGCUGACCGAGCAACGCCGCGUGAGUGAAGAAGGUUUUCGGAUCGUAAAACUCUGUUGGUAGAGAAGAACGUUGGUGAGAGUGGAAAGCUCAUCAAGUGACGGUAACUACCCAGAAAGGGACGGCUAACUACGUG